rnacentral:rRNA from 1 species
GGGUUGUGAGGUUAAGCGACUAAGCGUACACGGUGGAUGCCCUGGCAGUCAGAGGCGAUGAAGGACGUGCUAAUCUGCGAAAAGCGUCGGUAAGGUGAUAUGAACCGUUAUAGCCGGCGAUGUCCGAAUGGGGAAACCCAGUGCAAUUCGUUGCACUAUCGUUAACUGAAUACAUAGGUUAACGAGGCGAACCGGGGGAACUGAAACAUCUAAGUACCCCGAGGAAAAGAAAUCAACCGAGAUUCCCCCAGUAGCGGCGAGCGAACGGGGAGCAGCCCAGAGUCUGAAUCAGCUUGUGUGUUAGUGGAACGGUCUGGAAAGUCCGACGGUACAGGGUGAUAGUCCCGUACACCAAAAUGCACAGGCUGUGAACUCGAAGAGUAGGGCGGGACACGUGGUAUCCUGUCUGAAUAUGGGGGGACCAUCCUCCAAGGCUAAAUACUCCUGACUGACCGAUAGUGAACCAGUACCGUGAGGGAAAGGCGAAAAGAACCCCGGCGAGGGGAGUGAAAAAGAACCUGAAACCGUGUACGUACAAGCAGUGGGAGCACCUUCGGGUGUGACUGCGUACCUUUUGUAUAAUGGGUCAGCGACUUAUAUUCUGUAGCAAGGUUAACCGUAUAGGGGAGCCGCAGGGAAACCGAGUCUUAACUGGGCGUUAAGUUGCAGGGUAUAGACCCGAAACCCGGUGAUCUAGCCAUGGGCAGGUUGAAGGUUGGGUAACACUAACUGGAGGACCGAACCGACUAAUGUUGAAAAAUUAGCGGAUGACUUGUGGCUGGGGGUGAAAGGCCAAUCAAACCGGGAGAUAGCUGGUUCUCCCCGAAAGCUAUUUAGGUAGCGCCUCGUGAAUUCAUCUUCGGGGGUAGAGCACUGUUUCGGCUAGGGGGUCAUCCCGACUUACCAACCCGAUGCAAACUACGAAUACCGAAGAAUGUUAUCACGGGAGACACACGGCGGGUGCUAACGUCCGUCGUGAAGAGGGAAACAACCCAGACCGCCAGCUAAGGUCCCAAAGUCAUGGUUAAGUGGGAAACGAUGUGGGAAGGCACAGACAGCCAGGAUGUUGGCUUAGAAGCAGCCAUCAUUUAAAGAAAGCGUAAUAGCUCACUGGUCGAGUCGGCCUGCGCGGAAGAUGUAACGGGGCUAAACCAUGCACCGAAGCUGCGGCAGCGACACUAUGUGUUGUUGGGUAGGGGAGCGUUCUGUAAGCCUGCGAAGGUGACCUGUGAGGGUUGCUGGAGGUAUCAGAAGUGCGAAUGCUGACAUAAGUAACGAUAAAGCGGGUGAAAAGCCCGCUCGCCGGAAGACCAAGGGUUCCUGUCCAACGUUAAUCGGGGCAGGGUGAGUCGACCCCUAAGGCGAGGCCGAAAGGCGUAGUCGAUGGGAAACAGGUUAAUAUUCCUGUACUUGGUGUUACUGCGAAGGGGGGACGGAGAAGGCUAUGUUAGCCGGGCGACGGUUGUCCCGGUUUAAGCAUGUAGGCUGAUUGUCCAGGCAAAUCCGGAUAAUCAAGGCUGAGGUGUGAUGACGAGGCACUACGGUGCUGAAGUAACAAAUGCCCUGCUUCCAGGAAAAGCCUCUAAGCAUCAGGUAACAUCAAAUCGUACCCCAAACCGACACAGGUGGUCAGGUAGAGAAUACCAAGGCGCUUGAGAGAACUCGGGUGAAGGAACUAGGCAAAAUGGUGCCGUAACUUCGGGAGAAGGCACGCUGGUGUGUAGGUGAAGUCCCUGCGGAUGGAGCUGAGACCAGUCGAAGAUACCAGCUGGCUGCAACUGUUUAUUAAAAACACAGCACUGUGCAAACACGAAAGUGGACGUAUACGGUGUGACGCCUGCCCGGUGCCGGAAGGUUAAUUGAUGGGGUUAUCCGUAAGGAGAAGCUCUUGAUCGAAGCCCCGGUAAACGGCGGCCGUAACUAUAACGGUCCUAAGGUAGCGAAAUUCCUUGUCGGGUAAGUUCCGACCUGCACGAAUGGCGUAAUGAUGGCCAGGCUGUCUCCACCCGAGACUCAGUGAAAUUGAACUCGCUGUGAAGAUGCAGUGUACCCGCGGCAAGACGGAAAGACCCCGUGAACCUUUACUAUAGCUUGACACUGAACAUUGAGCCUUGAUGUGUAGGAUAGGUGGGAGGCUUUGAAGCGUGGACGCCAGUCUGCGUGGAGCCAACCUUGAAAUACCACCCUUUAAUGUUUGAUGUUCUAACGUUGGCCCCUUACCGGGGUUGCGGACAGUGUCUGGUGGGUAGUUUGACUGGGGCGGUCUCCUCCCAAAGCGUAACGGAGGAGCACGAAGGUUAGCUAAUCCUGGUCGGACAUCAGGAGGUUAGUGCAAUGGCAUAAGCUAGCUUGACUGCGAGCGUGACGGCGCGAGCAGGUGCGAAAGCAGGUCAUAGUGAUCCGGUGGUUCUGAAUGGAAGGGCCAUCGCUCAACGGAUAAAAGGUACUCCGGGGAUAACAGGCUGAUACCGCCCAAGAGUUCAUAUCGACGGCGGUGUUUGGCACCUCGAUGUCGGCUCAUCACAUCCUGGGGCUGAAGUAGGUCCCAAGGGUAUGGCUGUUCGCCAUUUAAAGUGGUACGCGAGCUGGGUUUAGAACGUCGUGAGACAGUUCGGUCCCUAUCUGCCGUGGGCGCUGGAGAAUUGAGGGGGGCUGCUCCUAGUACGAGAGGACCGGAGUGGACGCAUCACUGGUGUUCGGGUUGUCAUGCCAAUGGCACUGCCCGGUAGCUAAAUGCGGAAGAGAUAAGUGCUGAAAGCAUCUAAGCACGAAACUUGCCCCGAGAUGAGUUCUCCCUGAGACUUUAAGUCUCCUGAAGGAACGUUAAAGACGAUGACGUUGAUAGGCCGGGUGUGUAAGCGCAGCGAUGCGUUGAGCUAACCGGUACUAAUGAACCGUGAGGCUUAACCUUACAACGCCGAAG